UACGGAGGGAGCUAGCGUUGUUCGGAUUCACUGGGCGUAAAGGGUGCGUAGGUGGCUUGGUAAGUUCGAUGUGAAAUCUCCGGGCUUAACCCGGAAAUGGCAUUGAAUACUAUUGAGCUGGAGGUUUGGAGGGGGGACUGGAAUUCUCGGUGUAGCAGUGAAAUUCGUAGAUAUUCGGAGGAACACCAGAAGCGAAGGCGGCUCACUGGCCCGAUACUGACGCUGAGGCGCGAAAGCGUGGGGAGCAAACAGGG
rnacentral:rRNA from 1 species